UAGAAUUGUAGAUCCUGCCGGGAGUAACAGCAAAGUGGGGUUGGAAUCCCCACCGCCGAAAGGGCCAGGAUUCCUCAGCAAUGUUCGUCAACUGAGGGUUAGUCGAUCCUAAGACUCUUUGUAACUCAAACGAGUCGAAAGGGAAACCCGUUAAUAUUCGGGUACCAUAAAGAUACUCGCGGCAACGCAAGUUCUUUCUUUGACACUUUGGAGUACGCUAAGUGGAACUAUCGUUCCAUCUAACUAUAUAAUUCCAUGGAGAUGCUUAAUGCAGAGAAGUGGAAGAAAGUAGGAAUGGCCUGUCGUUUUAGUCGGGUUUGGCCGAUCUCUGGAGUCCAUGAAAAGAGGAUAGAAAUGAAUUCUUUAUGUUCGUACCGAGAUCCGACACAGGUGCCCCUUGGUGAGAAGCCUAAGGCGUGUUGGGAUACUCCAGUUAAGGGAACUCGGCAAAAUAGCUCCGUAACUUUGGGAUAAGGAGUGCGUACUGUCUUCAUUGGACGGUACGUCUCAGUAACGUGAGGGCUUCGACUGUUUAAUAAAAACACAGCUAGCUGCUAUCCUGUAAAGGUUUGUACAGCUGGUGACAUCUGCUCAGUGCCGGCACGUUGAGCCCGGUUUCAACCGGGGGAAGCGCCGGUAAACGGCGGGAGUAACAAUAACUCUCUUAAGGUAGCGUAAUACCUUGCCGCUUAAUUGGCGGCUUGCAUGAAUGGUGUAACGAGAGCCCUACUGUCCCUAACUGGAACCUAGUGAAACCACUUCCUGGUGGAUAUGCCAGGGUCCCCCGAUGGGAAGCGAAGACCCCAUGGAGUUUUACUACAGCCUGUCGUUGUCGCUGGAUUUUGAUGUAGAGCGUAGUUGGUAGCCAUCGAAGCAAUCUCGUCAGGGAUUGUGGAGGCGAAUAUGGAACACCAACCUUCUAGGUCUAAGCGACUAACCAACAUUGUUAUUGUUGGGACACCGGUAGGUAGGUAGUUUGGCUGGGGCGGUACGCCCUCGAGAAGAUAUCGAGGGCGCCCUAAGGUUGACUCAGGUGGGUCAGGAAUCCACCGUAGAGGGCAAGGCCAAAAGUCAGCCUGACUGGAUAUUGCACCACAAGAUAUCCAGAGGCGAAAGCCGGGCCUAGCGAACUCCAAUGCCUCCUUGAUGGGGGCUUGGACUAACAGAAAAACUACCCUGGGGAUAACUGAGUCGUCCGGGGCAAGAGCCCACAUCGACCCCCGGGCUUGCUACCUCGCUGUCGGUUCUUUCCAUCCUGGGUCUGCAGCAGGACCCAAGGGUGGGGUUGUUCGCCCAUUAAAGGAGAACGUGAGCUGGGUUUAGACCGUCGUGAGACAGGUUAGUUGCUAUCUAUCGGGGGUGUUGGUCGUCUGAAGGGAAGGUAGUCCCAGUACGAGAGGAACAGACUGCCGUGGCCUCUGGUGUACCAGUUGUCUGAUAAGGCAUCGCUGGGUAGCUACGCCAUAGUUAAUAAGGGCUGAAAGCAUCUAAGCCCGAAAUAACCCCUGAAAAUAGACUACCACUC
rnacentral:rRNA from 1 species